rfam:Photobacterium damselae subsp. piscicida DI21 genomic scaffold scaffold00008, whole genome shotgun sequence.
CCUUUGGGGAGUAGCCUCUAAUCUAGUGUUGCAAUAAGACUAGAGUAGACAUUCAUCAACAUAAUUGAAGCAAAAUCUUCAUGGUGAAUGUGACUGUUUUGGGUUUGGCAAGACCAUAGGUAAGACCGCAUAAACCGGGGUGGGGAGUGCGAGUUUUACUAUUGGUUCUAAUAAUAAUUCUC